rnacentral:misc_RNA from 1 species
CUUGGCUUCAAAUUGUUAUUAUCGGUGAGUUAAUGCUUGUUUAGAUUGGUUUUGAUCGUGGAAUGACGUCUGUUUUUUGGGUAAUUAAGUGUAUAGCGAUGAUUUGUAGCGUAUUUCAGCUCUUGCAUAGCUGAUUUGCUUUCUUAACUGACUAUUGAGCUCACAUUAAGAGAAUUUUUAUUAGAUGAAUAUUUUUUUCCUAGAGGGUAUCAUUAGCUAAGUGGAAUUUGAAUUCGAUUUGUGAGUCGAUUAUUGUUUGGUGG